ACCUGAGAGGGUGAUCGGCCACACUGGAACUGAGACACGGUCCAGACUCCUACGGGAGGCAGCAGUAGGGAAUCUUCCGCAAUGGGCGAAAGCCUGACCGGAGCAACGCCGCGUGAGUGAUGAAGGUCUUCGGAUCGUAAAACUCUGUUAUUAGGGAAGAACAAACGUGUAAGUAACUGUGCACGUCUUGACGGUACCUAAUCAGAAAGCCACGGCUAACUACGUGCAGCAGCCGCGGUAAUACGUAGGUGGCAAGCGUUAUCCGGAAUUAUUGGGCGUAAAGCGCGCGUAGGCGGUUUUUUAAGUCUGAUGUGAAAGCCCACGGCUCAACCGUGGAGGGUCAUUGGAAACUGGAAAACUUGAGUGCAGAAGAGGAAAGUGGAAUUCCAUGUGUAGCGGUGAAAUGCGCAGAGAUAUGGAGGAACACCAGUGGCGAAGGCGACUUUCUGGUCUGUAACUGACGCUGAUGUGCGAAAGCGUGGGGAUCAAACAGGAUUAGAUACCCUGGUAGUCCACGC
rnacentral:rRNA from 1 species